UGCAACCUCCUGAUGAAAGCCCCGCGUUUUAACCCAGCAGUGAAAGGAAAAGGUUACGAAACUGUUCAGCAAUUUACGACGUCAAACUGCAGCGCUGUGCCAGUGCAGCACAAAGUGUCCAGCCCAAACACAGACUGGCAGAGGAAUAAAGAGGCGAGGGUGAUACUGGGAAGACUUUUGUGCUAACGCAGAGAAGUCACAUAUUACGUAGGCAAUUCAUGUGUGACGUCUCGCCUCCUCUUUGAUAUUCCCUAAGAAACUCUUUCUGUUUUGCAAGGCAGAUCACAACAGUUCCUUGAAAAGCAAAGCAGUGGUGACAGUGAGGAGAGGCGUACGCAGAGACUGACCCAGUGACACCCUGUGACAACCAUCAAAACCCCAGCAACAAGUAAACAGAUUAAGUGGGAGCUGUUUCAAGGUUAAUGGAUGGGAUCACACGCAUUUUGCUGGCCCAACUGGAAUGCUACUUCAAGGAGCUGGAUGUAAAAUGCUCGGGAAUAAAAAGAGGAUUUUUGGAAAGAUUCAUGAAGAGGCACUACUCUCAGAACUACCACCUGUAUCGUUGGAUGAAAGUUGUUUAAAAUCCUCCUCAAAGAACGAUGAAAACAGAAUUCAAAGGAAUCUGAUCAUACGUAGGGGCAAUAAACAUUUAAAACAGCACAACCUCAAUAGAGAUGAGAAUCUAAUUUAAGCGUCAGCAGGGUUCAAUACGAAAAUGCAUCUGCAUUUGGGAACCCUUGGACAGAGCCUGCCUGUACGUGCUGCAGACCCGGACUGGCUUGAGUGACAUAAAACUGUACAUGCCAAGAUUAAAUGAACCCUUCCCGCCCUGGGGACCAGCAGGGAAGGGUCCUCACACCAACAUGGACCUCAGGUAAGGAUGAAAACCCUGCUGCCAUCACCUGAUUCUGAAACAGAGAAAUAAACAGCAGAGUCAGUUAUACUGUUAAGCAGCAUUCUUUAUUUUAUCAGUGCUGAGGAACACUGGGGAUCAUCCUCCACAAAGUGCACAAAGGACUGGAUGUUCCUGCAUCGGUUAUAUUCACGUAAUUAUUACAUAUGCUUUACAAGUUUUGAAAUUGUUGACAUACAAUACAUCUAUACUAAAAAAUAAUUGAUUAUGUUGGUUAUAAUUGUUUAGUUCAUUACUUACAUCUAUUAAUUAUUAGUUAAAUAUAAACUAAGCACUCUGCUUCU